rnacentral:rRNA from 1 species
CGGAGGAAAAGAAACCAACAGGGAUUGCCUUAGUAGCGGCGAGUGAAGCGGCAAAAGCUCAAAUUUGAAAUCUGGCUCUUUCAGAGUCCGAGUUGUAAUUUGAAGAAGGUAUCUUUGGGUCUGGCUCUUGUCUAUGUUUCUUGGAACAGAACGUCACAGAGGGUGAGAAUCCCGUGCGAUGAGAUGAUCCAGGCCUAUGUAAAGUUCCUUCGAAGAGUCGAGUUGUUUGGGAAUGCAGCUCUAAGUGGGUGGUAAAUUCCAUCUAAAGCUAAAUAUUGGCGAGAGACCGAUAGCGAACAAGUACAGUGAUGGAAAGAUGAAAAGAACUUUGAAAAGAGAGUGAAAAAGUACGUGAAAUUGUUGAAAGGGAAGGGCUUGAGAUCAGACUUGGUAUUUUGUAUGUUACUUCUUCGGGGGUGGCCUCUACAGUUUAUCGGGCCAGCAUCAGUUUGGGCGGUAGGAGAAUUGCGUUGGAAUGUGGCACGGCUUCGGUUGUGUGUUAUAGCCUUCGUCGAUACUGCCAGCCUAGACUGAGGACUGCGGUUUAUACCUAGGAUGUUGGCAUAAUGAUCUUAAGUCGCCCGUCUUG